CCUACGGGGGGCAGCAGUGGGGAAUAUUGGACAAUGGGCGCAAGCCUGAUCCAGCAAUGCCGCGUGUGUGAAGAAGGCCUGCGGGUUGUAAAGCACUUUCAGUGGGGAGGAAAGAGCCAAGGCUAAUAUCCUUGGAAGUUGACGUUACCCACAGAAGAAGCACCGGCUAACUCUGUGCCAGCAGCCGCGGUAAUACAGAGGGUGCAAGCGUUAAUCGGAGUUACUGGGCGUAAAGCGUGCGUAGGCGGAAAUUCAAGUCGGGUGUGAAAGCCCCGGGCUUAACCUGGGAACUGCAUUUGAUACUGAAUUUCUAGAGUAUGGUAGAGGGAAGUGGAAUUUCCGGUGUAGCGGUGAAAUGCGUAGAUAUCGGAAAGAACACCAGUGGCGAAGGCGACUUCCUGGACCAAUACUGACGCUGAGGCACGAAAGCGUGGGGAGCAAACAGGAUUAGAGACCCUGGUAGUCCACGCCGUAAACGAUGAGAACUAGACGUUAGUUCCGUUUUGCGGAAUUAGUGUCGAAGCUAACGCGUUAAGUUCUCCGCCUGGGGAGUACGGCCGCAAGGCUAAAACUCAAAGGAAUUGACGGGGGCCCGCACAAGCGGUGGAGCAUGUGGUUUAAUUCGAUGCUACGCGAAGAACCUUACCUACCCUUGAAAUCCUCGGAAUCCCGCAGAGAUGUGGGAGUGCCUUCGGGAACCGAGUGACAGGUGCUGCAUGGCUGCCGUCAGCUCGUGUCGUGAGAUGUUGGGUUAAGUCCCGUAACGAGCGCAACCCUUGUCCUUAGUUGCCAUUCUUGCCUUGAGCAAGAGGAACUCUAAGGAGACCGCCGGUGAUAAACCGGAGGAAGGUGGGGAUGAUGUCAAGUCAUCAUGGCCCUUACGGGUAGGGCUACACACAUGCUACAAUGGGCAGUACAGAGGGUCGCCAAGUCGCAAGGUGGAGCUAAUCCCAGAAAACUGCUCGUAGUCCGGAUUGGAGUCUGCAACUCGACUCCAUGAAGUCGGAAUCGCUAGUAAUCGCGAAUCAGAACGUCGCGGUGAAUACGUUCCCGGGCCUUGUACACACCGCCCGUC
rnacentral:rRNA from 1 species